GAUCUGGCUGCAGGAGCGGCUGGAAGAGCCCUUCAGCGGUCCUACGGUCGUAGUGACCCACAUGGCGCCGUCAGUUCAAUCCAUUCCUGAUCG
rnacentral:tRNA from 1 species